rnacentral:misc_RNA from 1 species
AAAUCUCAACCUUCUUGGUUUCUUCUGGACACCAAAGGAGGCUUGGACUUUGGAGGCCUUUGCUGGCGUCUCUCUCUUUUGAGAGCCAGCUCCUCUUAAACAAAUUAGCAGGGUCCUCUUUGCCGAUCCUUGACAUGUGAUAAGAUGUUUCCAUGACUUGGUUUCUGGCUCUGUUGCCUUUGGGACCCGCUUCUAACCGUCUCUGCGAGACAAUGUUUGGGCGUGUCUCCCUUCUCGGGAGACUCUCUUGACCCCACGAAC